rfam:Danio rerio chromosome 15, GRCz11 reference primary assembly.
UUCCUUCCUUAUUGUAAGUUGCUUUGGAUAAAAGCAUCUGCUAAACCACUAAAA